ACUCAAAUGAAUAGACGGGGGUCCGCACAAGCAGCGGAGCGUGCGGUUCAAUUCGAUGGUACGCGAAGAACCUUACCCAGACUUGACAUGCAGGUGGUACUGACCCGAAAGGGAAGGGACCCGCAAGGGAGCCUGCAAAGGUGUUGCACGGCUGUCGUCAGCUCGUGUCGUGAGAUGUUGGGUUAAGUCCCGCAACGAGCGCAACCCUCACCGUCUGUUGUAUCCCUCAGACGGGACUGCCGAGAGAAACUCGGAGGAAGGUGGGGAUGAGGUCAAGUCCGCGUGGCCCUUAUGUCUGGGGCUACACGCACGCUACAAUCGCCGGUCACAGCGGGUCGCAACUGCGCGAGCAGGAGCUAAUCCCUUAAAACCGGCGUCAGUUCAGAUCGGAGGCUGAAACCCGCCUCCGUGAAGUCGGAGUUGCUAGUAACCGCGGGUCAGCACACCGCGGUGAAUAUGUUCCCGGACCUUGCACACACCGCCCGU
rnacentral:rRNA from 1 species